GACGAACGCUGGCGGCGUGCCUAAUACAUGCAAGUAGAACGCUGAAGAGAGGAGCUUGCUCUUCUUGGAUGAGUUGCGAACGGGUGAGUAACGCGUAGGUAACCUGCCUUGUAGCGGGGGAUAACUAUUGGAAACGAUAGCUAAUACCGCAUAACAAUGGAUGACACAUGUCAUUUAUUUGAAAGGGGCAAUUGCUCCACUACAAGAUGGACCUGCGUUGUAUUAGCUAGUAGGUGAGGUAACGGCUCACCUAGGCGACGAUACAUAGCCGACCUGAGAGGGGGAUCGGCCACACUGGGACUGGGACACGGCCCAGACUCCUACGGGAGGCAGCAGUAGGGAAUCUUCGGCAAUAGGGGCAACCCUGACCGAGCAACGCCGCGUGAGUGAAGAAGGUUUUCGGAUCGUAAAGCUCUGUUGUAAGUCAAGAACGAGUGGGAGAGUGGAAAGUUCACGCUGUGACGGUAGCUUACCAGAAAGGGACGGCUAACUACGUG
rnacentral:rRNA from 1 species